GGACUACACGGGUUUCUAAUCCCAUUCGCUACCCACGCUUUCGUGUUUCAGCGUCGGGAAUGUGCCAGUGAAUUGCCUUCGCAUUUGGUGUUCCCCAUGAUAUCAACGGAUUUCACCCCUACACCAUGAGUUCCAUUCACCUCUCACAUCCUCUAGGUUGGCCGUUUCUUCUGCGAGCCCCCGGUUGAGCCGAAGAAUUUGACAGAAGACUAACCAAACCGCCUACACACCCUUUACGCCCAAUGAUUCCGGAUAACGCUUGGGGCACUCGUAUUACCGCGGCUGCUGGCAC
rnacentral:rRNA from 1 species